AUCAGUAACUUUGCCCUUAUAGCCGCUCUCAUUCAAGAAUCUCAGGGUAGUUUCAGCAUUACUCUGCUAAGCUGGCUGAAGGGGCAUCAGAAAAAAGUAUCGGAAACAGAACCCUCUGCCCAGCUAGGGAGAAGUUUGGAUGUGAUCCAGGGCUACUUUGCUUCAGAUUGUUUAUAAUUUAAAAUUCCUGAUACCUCCUGAAGGCAAGAUUUGUGUACAACAGAGCUGCACUGGUAGGGAGCUACGUAAUACCUUCCUUGGCAGCAUUAGGACUGCUGUUGUUUUCAAUGUAUGAAACAAGACAUCCUGUUCCCAACACAAUUUUUACUUUUGAUCUUUCAUAGGGCUAAACUCUGGAAAACUCAGGGAAAACACAGACAGUAAGACUGACAUUCUCUUCAAAGAGAUCAGAAUUAGGAAUAAAGACAGGAAUAGCCUUUUUCAGCUCCAGUUUUUUUGAGAAAUUCAGGAUGUUGUCCUAAAUUUCAGCUUAGUCUCUGCUUGGCAUCAUUCUAGCUCCUGGGAUGCUACAUGAGCUACCCCUGUGCUUCCAACAAAGCCUUCAUCUCAGCUGAGCUAAAGGAAAGCGACAUAGAACAGCGAGACUGCCUCUUGUGCUGCUGUCAGUAUAACCACAGCUGUUCUCAUUCUGAAACAUUCAACAAAGUCCCGGGUGUUUCUUAUGUGGAGAUGCUAAUCAAGGUACUGUUUUGUGGAGGUAGUCUUGCUUUAAGAUAA
rnacentral:lncRNA from 1 species